CGCGGCCUAUCAGCUUGUUGGUAGUGUAAUGGACUACCAAGGCGAUGAUACAUAGCCGACCUGAGAGGGUGAUCGGCCACAUUGGGACUGAGACACGGCCCAAACUCCUACGGGAGGCAGCAGUAGGGAAUCUUCGGCAAUGGACGAAAGUCUGACCGAGCAACGCCGCGUGAGUGAAGAAGGUUUUCGGAUCGUAAAACUCUGUUGUUAGAGAAGAACGCUGCAUAGAGUGGAAAAUUAUGCAAGUGACGGUAUCUAACCAGAAAGGGACGGCUAACUACGUGCCAGCAGCCGCGGUAAUACGUAGGUCCCAAGCGUUGUCCGGAUUUAUUGGGCGUAAAGCGAGCGCAGGUGGUUUAAUAAGUCUGAUGUAAAAGGCAGUGGCUCAACCAUUGUGUGCAUUGGAAACUGUUAGACUUGAGUGCAGUAGAGGAGAGUGGAAUUCCAUGUGUAGCGGUGAAAUGCGUAGAUAUAUGGAGGAACACCGGUGGCGAAAGCGGCUCUCUGGACUGUCACUGACACUGAGGCUCGAAAGCGUGGGUAGCAAACAGGAUUAGAUACCCUGGUAGUCCACGCCGUAAACGAUGAGUGCUAGUUGUUUGGGGCUAUCCAGCCCUAAGUGACGCAGCAAACGCAUUAAGCACCCCGCC
rnacentral:rRNA from 1 species